rnacentral:tRNA from 1 species
GCCGAAGUGGUGGAAUUGGUAGACACGCUAGACUCAAAAUCUGGUGGGGGCAAUCUCGUGUCGGUUCGAGUCCGACCUUCGGCACCA